rnacentral:tRNA from 1 species
GGUUGUAGCUGGGGACAGGGAUUGUGUUUCGGCCACAAAUUGGGAGAGGUUGAUCUUCUGUCAAAG